AGCAGCAGUGUUUCCACUUAAUUACCUGGUCUGAUCAGAUCUCAGAAGCUAAGCAAGGCUGGACUUGGCACUACUGGGAUGGAGAACUCCAAGGAAAACCAGGUUGCUGCUGUAA
rnacentral:rRNA from 1 species